GCUUCAUGGCUCAAUGGUAGAGCAUCUGCUUGGCAAGCAGAAGGUCCCAAGUUCAAUGCUAAGCAUCUGCA
rnacentral:tRNA from 1 species